rnacentral:rRNA from 1 species
CACGUAGGAGGCGAGCGUUGUCCGGAAUCAUUGGGCGUAAAGAGCGCGCAGGCGGCUUGGCAAGUCGGGUGUGAAAUCCCGGGGCUCAACCCCGUGACUGCAUCCGAUACUGUCAGGCUAGAGGUAGGUAGGGGAGAUCGGAAUUCCUGGUGUAGCGGUGAAAUGCGCAGAUAUCAGGAGGAACACCGGUGGCGAAGGCGACUACCUGGCCUGUUCUUGACGCUGAGGCGCGAAAGCUAGGGGAGCAAACGGG